UAAAAUGAGAGUUUGAUCCUGGCUCAGGACGAACGCUGGCGGCGUGCCUAAUACAUGCAAGUCGAGCGAGCGGAACUAACAGAUUUACUUCGGUAAUGACGUUAGGAAAGCGAGCGGCGGAUGGGUGAGUAACACGUGGGGAACCUGCCCCAUAGUCUGGGAUACCACUUGGAAACAGGUGCUAAUACCGGAUAAGAAAGCAGAUCGCAUGAUCAGCUUUUAAAAGGCGGCGUAAGCUGUCGCUAUGGGAUGGCCCCGCGGUGCAUUAGCUAGUUGGUAAGGUAAAGGCUUACCAAGGCGAUGAUGCAUAGCCGAGUUGAGAGACUGAUCGGCCACAUUGGGACUGAGACACGGCCCAAACUCCUACGGGAGGCAGCAGUAGGGAAUCUUCCACAAUGGACGCAAGUCUGAUGGAGCAACGCCGCGUGAGUGAAGAAGGUUUUCGGAUCGUAAAGCUCUGUUGUUGGUGAAGAAGGAUAGAGGUAGUAACUGGCCUUUAUUUGACGGUAAUCAACCAGAAAGUCACGGCUAACUACGUGCCAGCAGCCGCGGUAAUACGUAGGUGGCAAGCGUUGUCCGGAUUUAUUGGGCGUAAAGCGAGCGCAGGCGGAAGAAUAAGUCUGAUGUGAAAGCCCUCGGCUUAACCGAGGAACUGCAUCGGAAACUGUUUUUCUUGAGUGCAGAAGAGGAGAGUGGAACUCCAUGUGUAGCGGUGGAAUGCGUAGAUAUAUGGAAGAACACCAGUGGCGAAGGCGGCUCUCUGGUCUGCAACUGACGCUGAGGCUCGAAAGCAUGGGUAGCGAACAGGAUUAGAUACCCUGGUAGUCCAUGCCGUAAACGAUGAGUGCUAAGUGUUGGGAGGUUUCCGCCUCUCAGUGCUGCAGCUAACGCAUUAAGCACUCCGCCUGGGGAGUACGACCGCAAGGUUGAAACUCAAAGGAAUUGACGGGGGCCCGCACAAGCGGUGGAGCAUGUGGUUUAAUUCGAAGCAACGCGAAGAACCUUACCAGGUCUUGACAUCUAGUGCCAUUUGUAGAGAUACAAAGUUCCCUUCGGGGACGCUAAGACAGGUGGUGCAUGGCUGUCGUCAGCUCGUGUCGUGAGAUGUUGGGUUAAGUCCCGCAACGAGCGCAACCCUUGUUAUUAGUUGCCAGCAUUAAGUUGGGCACUCUAAUGAGACUGCCGGUGACAAACCGGAGGAAGGUGGGGAUGACGUCAAGUCAUCAUGCCCCUUAUGACCUGGGCUACACACGUGCUACAAUGGGCAGUACAACGAGAAGCGAGCCUGCGAAGGCAAGCGAAUCUCUGAAAGCUGUUCUCAGUUCGGACUGCAGUCUGCAACUCGACUGCACGAAGCUGGAAUCGCUAGUAAUCGCGGAUCAGCACGCCGCGGUGAAUACGUUCCCGGGCCUUGUACACACCGCCCGUCACACCAUGGGAGUCUGCAAUGCCCAAAGCCGGUGGCCUAACCUUCGGGAAGGAGCCGUCUAAGGCAGGGCAGAUGACUGGGGUGAAGUCGUAACAAGGUAGCCGUAGGAGAACCUGCGGCUGGAUCACCUCCUUU
rfam:Lactobacillus crispatus ST1 complete genome, strain ST1